rnacentral:lncRNA from 10 species
ACAAAACUGCAGAUGCUCUGUUGAAUCCACUGGAGAUUGUCCUGAUACUAAGGACAAGUAUGCUCAUAUGACAUUAACAGACAAGACACUUUUCAGAAAGACAGGUUGUUCUUUUGGGCCACAUCUAAGAAAUCUUUGUCUAGCCAAAAGCCACAAAUAAUUUCUCAUUUUUUGGCUUCUGGAAGAUGUACAGUUAAAUGUUAUAUUUGGGACUGUUAUCUAAUUUGAUUAAAUUGCACUCUACAAUAUGAUAUUUGAAUUGAUGAAAAAUUAGUAAAUGUUAAUAUUUUUUAAAGUAGCCAAAUCUUGCAAUUUAUAUAUAAUAGAGAAGACUAGAAAAUCCCCCAUAUUUAUUUCCUCUUACUUCGUACUACUAAAAUUUGUAUUUAGGCAUUUGGUUUCUCAGAUAAACAUUACAUUCCCCAGUAUAUGGUUCUAUCUGGCUUGG